GCUGGUGUAGCUCAGUGGUAGAGCAGCUGAUUUGUAAUCAGCUGGUCGCAGGUUCAAAUCCUGUCACCAGCU
rfam:Cyanobacterium endosymbiont of Epithemia turgida isolate EtSB Lake Yunoko DNA, complete genome.